rnacentral:rRNA from 1 species
UAGGGAAUCUUCCGCAAUGGGCGAAAGCCUGACGGAGCAACGCCGCGUGAGUGAUGAAGGUCUUCGGAUCGUAAAACUCUGUUAUUAGGGAAGAACAAAUGUGUAAGUAACUAUGCACGUCUUGACGGUACCUAAUCAGAAAGCCACGGCUAACUACGUGCCAGCAGCCGCGGUAAUACGUAGGUGGCAAGCGUUAUCCGGAAUUAUUGGGCGUAAAGCGCGCGUAGGCGGUUUUUUAAGUCUGAUGUGAAAGCCCACGGCGCAACCGUGGAGGGUCAUUGGAAACUGGUUGACUUGAGUGCAGAAGAGGAGAGUGGAAUUCCAUGUGUAGCGGUGAAAUGCGUAGAUAUAUGGAGGAACACCAGUGGCGAAGGCGACUCUCUGGUCUGUAACUGACGCUGAGGCUCGAAAGCGUGGGUAGCAAACAGG